GGUGAUGUAGCUCAGUUGGUUAGAGCGCGGCACUCAUAAUGCUGAGGUCGGUAGUUCAACUCUACCCAUCACCACCA
rnacentral:tRNA from 2 species